rnacentral:piRNA from 1 species
UAAAAUGGUCCUACCGAUGUGAGGCU